ensembl:misc_RNA
CGAAGCCUUACACAGCUCUGAGUAAGCUAACAAAAUAAGAGAAUAAGAUUCUGGUGCUGAGGCGCUGAGUGUGCGACCUUGAUCAUCA